rnacentral:rRNA from 1 species
UACGGAGGGUGCGAGCGUUGUUCGGAAUCACUGGGCGUAAAGGGCGUGUAGGCGGUCUGCUAAGUCUGAUGUGAAAGCCCGGGGCUCACCCCCGGAAGUGCAUUGGAUACUGGCGGACUCGAGUCCCGGAGAGGAGAGUGGAAUUCCUGGUGUAGCGGUGAAAUGCGUAGAUAUCAGGAGGAACACCGGUGGCGAAGGCGGCUCUCUGGACGGUGACUGACGCUGAGACGCGAAAGCGUGGGGAGCAAACAGG